rnacentral:lncRNA from 1 species
CCCCAUCGUUCCCUCCUCCACCCGCCCCGAGCAGCAGGGAGCACCGGCGCCUGCGCUGCGUCGCCAUGGAUGGCCUGCCCCGAGUAGCAGCCAGCAGCCAGCGACGUGAGGUCGGGAGAUCCUCUCCUCCCCGGAUCCCGAUGACGGCGAGAUCCAGCAGAUGCAGACCAACCGGCGGUGGUCGUCGCCACGGCACGCGGCCCUCCAUGGGCUUGUGCUUCUGCUCGACUGCUCGCCCGGCGACGUGGUUCCCAGUGACUUACGACACGGCUGCUUCGAUCGCCCCGGUGACAUGCCUAGUGCCCCCAAGAAGGUCGCAUCUUCUCCUCAUCCAUUGCUUUCUCUCUCUCUCUCUCUCUCUCUCUCUCUCUCUCUCUCUCUCUCUCUCUCUCUCUCUCCCUGAUGCGACGAUUUCCCCCAACAAAUCCAUCAAUUUUUCAUGUUUCCUUGCUGGGGGAUGAAUAGAUUGGAUGCCUUGGUUGGUUGCUGUAGGGACGCGUGCUGGAGUCCUCGUCGACUGCAUCAAGUGAUUACAGGCUGCAGCACGGGAAGAUAGAGAAUUCGCUGCCAAUAUUUAUGCUCAACUGCGUACAACUACAAGGUGCUGCAGUGCCCAGACCAGAAACCUCUACAUCCUGAAACGGCACCUUCAACACUUGCAGAUCUAGAACAAGUAUUUACAGGGUAGCAUCGUAUUGUAACAUGCUAGUUGGCAUCCUCAGCAUUUCUAGUUGCACAAUACCAUCCAACUAGUUGACAUCCUCAGUCUUUUUUAGCUGCGUUGACACCCUUAGCAUUUUCUUCUAGAAGCCUGAAACCUGAAUGUGCAAUUUUUUGAUUGGUCAUGCAAGUCCUCAAUAUUUCUUUUCCCAAGAGUAUCUAAUUAAUUGGCAUCCUCAAGAUUUAUAGUUGCACAAGAGUAUUCAAUUAGUUGGCAUCCUCAUCAUUUCUACUUGCUUAAACACUAUCCAACUAAUUGACAUCCUCAGCCACAAGAGUAACUAUUUUUUAGUCCCAUCUUCAAAAUUUUGAGGGUUGCCCAAGAGUAUCAAAUGACUUGGCACCCUCAGACUUUCUAGUUGCACAGGAGUAUUUAUUUAGUUAGCAUCCUGAGCAUUUUCUAGUUACACAAUAGCAUCUAACUAGUUGACAUCCUCAGCCUUUCUAGUUGCACAAGAGUAACUAUUUUUAGUUGGCAUCCUCUGCAUUUUCUAGUUGCACAACUAACAUAAUAUCAAGUUGGCAUCGUUAACCUUUUUUAUCCAUUGUUUCUGAAGAACAACAAAUAUUUUGUAUGCAGUGUUAACUAAUCACCUUUGGCAUCUUUUGUUUGCAAAACCUCAGGUGAUCAUGUCGGAAUGUGAUCACCUUUGGCACCGUUUUCUGAUAACAGGAAAUAGAAUUUCAUCUUCUUUUCUGUUUCACUUUUAGUAUAUAGUACAUCCUAUAGAACAUAUUCCCCCUAUUGCAAUUUGUGUGAGACAAGACUAUUUGUAUGCUCGUUUUUAAUACUGUUCUUGUGCAUUUUCUAGUCUCGUUUUUAAUACUUUUAAUACAGGAAAUAGAAUUUCACCUUCUUUGCUGCACACAUUUGCAGCAAAAGUUGGCUUUGGAUACAAGUUUAGCUGCACAAUUAUAUGUUUAUAUUUGCACAGACAACAAAUACAGUAUUUUUUUAUUUCAUCUAGUUCGUGUGUUGGUUGCACACAUUUUUUGCAGGAAAAGAUAAACUGAAUGUAGUGUCUGUGCAAAUAGAAGCCCAUAUUUGUGCCAACUAAACAUGGAUCCAAAACCAUCUUUUCCUGCAAUGUGUGCAACCAACAGCCAAAAGACUAGAACAAAUGGACUCUAAUCUGGGCUGUUUUAUUGCACACAUUUGCAUAAAAAGGUUGGCUUGGACCCAUGCUUAGUUGCACAAAUAUGUUCUUCUUUUUGCAGAAACAGUACACCCAGUCCAUCUUUCUAGUCUGGGAUGUUCUUUUUGCACACAUGCCGCAGGAAAAGUUGGUUUUGGACCAAUGUUUUAGUUACACAAAUAUGUGCUUCUUUUUGCACAAAUAGUACACCUAGUCCAUCUUUCUAGUCUGGGCCAUCAUACGGUUGAGAUUAGUACUUUUUCUGAAGAACUCAAUGCAGCUAGUAUUUUCAACAGCAUCAGCGUCAUUUUUAUAAACUCGGUUUUUGGUUUGGUGACGGUGUGAUGAUUUUUUUCUCUCGUCAUGCAAGUGUUGAAUAACUAUUUUUCUGACUUGGUAUCCUCAAGAUUUCUAGUUGCACAAGAGUAUCCAUUUAGUUGGCAUCCUCAGCAUUUCUAGUUUCAAGGAACAAUAUACAAAUAGUUGACAUCCUCAGCUUUUCUAGUUGCACAACAGUAUAUAAUUUAGUCCAAUCUCGAAAAAAAUUGAGGGUUGCCCAAGAGUAUCUUUGGCACCCUCAGACUUUAUACUUGCACAGUAGUAUCCAAUUAGUUGGCAUCCUCAGCAAUUCUAGUUGCACAAUACUUUUCCAAUUAGUUGACAUACUCAAGACUUUUUCUAGUUGCAUAAGAGUAUGUAUUUAGUUGGCAUCCUUAGCAUUUCUAGUUGCACAGAAAACAUAAUACUGUGUUGGCAUCCUCAACCUUUUUAAUCCAGAUUUCUGAAGAACAAAUAAAAAUAUGCAGUGUUAACUAAUCACCUUUUUUCACCUUCAUGAUAUUGUGCAAGGGGGUGAGGGUAAUGAAGGAGAUAGUGCAGAACGACAGUCACAAGCUGGCAUCACCUGGGAGGUUGGUGAAGUUGAACAAUAAGUUGAGCCCAUUACAAAAGUCACACCUCUGUCACAAGCUGAUUGGAGGCCUGUAUUCAUGUUUUAGUUGCACAUAUUUACAGCAAAAGUUGGCUUUGGAUUCAUGUUUAGUUGCACAAAUAUGUGUUUAUUUUUGCACAGACUGCACACAUCCAUGUCUGUGUGUGUUGAUUGCACACAUUUACAUCAAAAGUUGGCUUUUGGAUCCAUGGUUAGUUUGCACAUCUCUUUUCUAGUCCUGGCUGUUUGGUUGCACACAUAGAAGGAAAAGUUGGUUUUGGAUCCAUGUUUUAGUUGGCACAAAUAUAGGCUUCUAUUUGCACACAUGGCAUAAAAAGGUUUCUUUUUGGAACCCAUGCUUUUUUAGUUGCGCAAAUAUGUGCUUCUUUCUGCACAAACUGUACAUUCAGUCCAUAUUUUUUAGUAUUUGGCUGUUUUGUUGCACACAUUGCAUAAAAUAUUGGCAUUGUUGGAACUGUGAUUAGUUGCACAAACAGGAAGAUCCAGUCCAUGUUUCUAGUUUGGGCUAUCUGCAAAACUACUCCCUUGUGUCUAUUUGCACACAUCCAGGCAAAAGUUGGUUUUACUACAGGGUCUAGUUGCACAGAGCGGCCGCAAAACAGUAGCCAUGGUGUCAAUUUUUCUAAAUGCUAGUGGUGUCUUGUACCAAAUUAGUUGUCUUAUAUUUGUCUAAAUAAAAAUGUACCUAACACUAAAAUGUGUCUAAAUACAUAAGUAUCUUAGACAAA